GCAUAGCUCAGUUGGUUACAACAUGGUGCUGAUAACACCAAGGUUGCAGGUUCGAUUCCUGUAUGGGACA
rnacentral:tRNA from 1 species